AUACUGAAAGUGGAGUCUGGACCAAAAGCAAAACAAACGUUUAGCUAAAAUCAAAGUGAAUUUUGACGUGUGGUAUUUGGUAUUGUGUCUGUGGCAGGUGAAAUGACAAAUGACAAUAGUUGUGAUGACUCGUUAAAUACGAAAAUAGACGAUUACUUCAACAAAAAGCAGUGUAUGUUUCUGUUCCUGCGUAAAACGGAAAUGCAUACCAGCAGCAGAAAAGGAUGUCUAACAGAUAAUGUCUUAAGCUACUUUGGUAACAAUAACUAAUAGAGGUGCAUUUCUUCGGACACAUAUUUGUCAACCCAUUACGAGUCAACUUGCAUCUAGCAUCUACUUUCUGUAUUACUGUUUCUACUUUGACGAGUAUGCAACAGCCAUGUAACAGAACAAUGUAUAGUUUGGUGCUUUUGACUGCAAGUCAGUUUGCGUGGCUGCAUAACCAUUCAGCAUUGGACUGAUAAACUUCCAUAGAGUUACUAUCACAAGACUUUCGUUGUGUUUGUUUUCAGCUGGCAAAGUCUUUCCACGAGUGCAACAAAAGUUUUUUCAUUGCAGAGUCAACAAAUUUGUGAAUGGUCCACAUCCUCUCCACAAAUUCCUUAGAAGGAAUAUUCAGUCCUCCACGGUCUAGUAUAGCAAUUGUUCAAGGUGUUCACAGCAUUUGCUUGGGAGUCGUGAAAAUCAUUGUGCCUCAGGCUUUCCAAGCACUCAACGCAAAUCUCCCGUUCACCGAUGGCUAACAGAAGAAAUCCUGAGGUCACAGCCGUUGCUAACUUGUUGUCACAUUCAUUCCCAAACCCGUUUAAAAUAAAAGCGUACCUGGUGGUCGUUUCAAUUCGUCCAACACUGCCAACUCUUCUGCGUUAAGGGACUUGAGGACGUCGAGAGCUCUUUUCUUCGGAACUUUUACGCCAGUUACUCAAGCGUUGUCGGCAACGGCACCUACAACAGUAAAUCCGAUCUUUUCUACUUCUUCGAGGAUGUGUAGGGAUUCAUCUGGUUUUAUUGCAACCUCGUCGAGCGCGAGAUUUACAUGAAUCCCGCGGCCACCUCCAAGUUCUUCAAUUUUAGCAAGUAAUGCUUGUUUAAUGGCAUCAGUGAAUCCGACUUCCAUUGUGGAAGUGCCAACGUAGCUCCGCAGUGUUUUUGACGAUGGGUUAGCUGCCCGCAAAAGCUCUUCUUCAUUGUCUGUUUCUGGGGAUCCAAAAUCGUCAAUCUCGGAUUCCGACUCGCAGUCCUCAGACAACCCCACAUCGUAAUCGGAAUCUGAAGUUCGAUCCUCCCACGUACUGGUUUCGGAAUCGCAAUCCGACGAGCGAUCUGUAUCAUCCAAAUCGUCGCAAGCCCACGAAGUAACACCGCGGCCAGAUGAGCAACUUGCGACUACGUCAUCUGCGGGCUCUGUGACGCCCGUGUCAUUCACAGCGACACCAACUGAAGAGGCCUCGACGUUCAGCUUAUGCGGUAAGUCAACUGUUACACCACAAUCUCUUUUAGUUAUAUCAUAAGGGUCGGCAUAGCUAUAUGAGUUAAAUGGCAAACCUUGAUGUGGAGCAACGGCGUUAUGUUCGUGAGUAACAACGUAAGAAACUCGCCUUUUCUUAUUUGGCGGCUGUUGACAAUUAUGUACUCCAGCUGCAGGAAUUUGAAUUUCAGUAGGUACUUGAACAGAACCAAAAAAAAAACUGAGGGAACCGCAUUAGGUAGCAAUUGUUUUCUCUCUGAGAGAAAUCCGGCUUUAAAGCUGUCGGCACUGACAUGUUUGCCGCACUCUGCCGCGUUUGUUAAUCGUGAGUCUUUUCUUAGAUGUCUCAAUCCACUCCAGUCCUGUAUCACACUAAUCCAAAGUUCUCUUUUUUCAUUGUCAAAUGGCAAUUGAUGAAAUGUAGUUUUAAUAUUCCCUUUUCCGUAAACAGAGUCACAGCCACCAACUAUGCACCUUUGAGGCAUGAUUGCAACUGAGAACGGAUCCCAUUCUUUUAAUUUCAAUAAUCAA
rnacentral:lncRNA from 1 species